UACGUAGGGUGCGAGCGUUGUCCGGAAUUAUUGGGCGUAAAGAGCUUGUAGGCGGUUUGUCGCGUCUGCUGUGAAAAUCCGGGGCUCAACCCCGGACUUGCAGUGGGUACGGGCAGACUAGAGUGUGGUAGGGGAGACUGGAAUUCCUGGUGUAGCGGUGAAAUGCGCAGAUAUCAGGAGGAACACCGAUGGCGAAGGCAGGUUUCUGGGCCACUACUGACGCUGAGAAGCGAAAGCAUGGGGAGCGAACAGG
rnacentral:rRNA from 1 species